ACCGUUGCAGAGGCGUUUCAAAGCCACGAUGCAGAAGAAUGGAAAAAAUCUAUGCGAAAGGAAUUCGAUGCACUCGUGUCAAAUAAUACAUGGACUCCUGUCUAUCUUCCGCCCGGAAAAAAGGCUAUAGGUUCAAAAUGGGUUUUCAGAAUCAAACGCAACCAAAACGGUGACAUUGAAAGGCUUAAGUCGAGACUUGUGGCACAAGGAUGUGGCCAGCAGUUUGGCGUAAACUACUGGGAGACAUAUUCUCCAGUGAUACGUUAUGAGACAAUCCGAAUGUUAUUUGCGAUUGCUGCAGAAAAGCAGUUACACAUGCAUCAGGUGGAUAUCUCUAACGCGUAUCUCAACGGUAAACUCCAAGAAGUCGUCUAUAUGAAGCAACCCGUAGGCUUUAUAGAUGAGCAGAACCCCCACAAGGUACUCAAACUUCAAAAGGCUAUCUAUGGGCUGAAGCAGUCUGGACGUGUCUGGAAUGACACAUUGAACGAGGUGCUGGUUAACAUGGGCUUUAAAAAAAG